rnacentral:rRNA from 1 species
GACGAACGCUGGCGGCGUGCUUAACACAUGCAAGUCGAACGGAAAGGCCCUGCUUUUGUGGGGUGCUCGAGUGGCGAACGGGUGAGUAACACGUGAGUAACCUGCCCUUGACUUUGGGAUAACUUCAGGAAACUGGGGCUAAUACCGGAUAGGAGCUCCUGCUGCAUGGUGGGGGUUGGAAAGUUUCGGCGGUUGGGGAUGGACUCGCGGCUUAUCAGCUUGUUGGUGGGGUAGUGGCUUACCAAGGCUUUGACGGGUAGCCGGCCUGAGAGGGUGACCGGCCACAUUGGGACUGAGGUACGGACCAGACUGCUACGGGAGGCAGCAGUGGGGAAUAUUGCACAAUGGGCGGAAGCCUGAUGCAGCAACGCCGCGUGCGGGAUGACGGCCUUCGGGUUGUAAACCGCUUUCGCCUGUGACGAAGCGUGAGUGACGGUAAUGGGUAAAGAAGCACCGGCUAACUACGUG